UUAUUUUUAACAGUAAAUUGACAGUAUUGUCUUUAGUGUGCCAUAACAACAACAUCAUACAUGUAUUUUAUUAAACAGAAAGUUGAACAAACAUUUCAUUAGAAAAUGCAAUUAAAAAUGAACUGAUUGUGUUGUAUAGGGGUGUGUUUCUGUGCAUUGGUGUCUUUUGUGUGCAUGUAUGCGUGUCUGCUUGUGAAAUAUUUGUCAAACAUUUUGUUAAAGAUUGGACAAGAUCUUUGACAAAAAAAACAAAACACUUUAACAUUAUGUCUUAACAUUGCACCUAGUCGGGCCAGUUAGAUCUUUUCCUGCAUUCUAUUCAAAGGCAGUCUUUGCAGAUAUAACCACCUUCAUCACCGAUGCCAUUAUCCUCUCCACAGCUCUCGUGGACCAUGAAUUGCACUGACAGCAGCACACCCAGUCCUCUGUGGCCUUUGGGUCAUUCACAUCACCAUACACUCUCUGGCAGGCUGUCCAGGGGUAUUGCUUUGUGCUCUAUUCCCUUUUUGAUUUUUACUGUGGCCAUCCAACAGGAGAACAUGGGGCCUUAGGUCAUCUUUUGGCAGCAGCUCUGUAAACAUCUGACCCCACUCCAGAAACAGGUCACGGUUUAUCCAGCCGUUGUCAGAGACCCUAACUACAACAUUUUCUGACCAGCCAUAAAGCCACUCACACCUUAGUUGCUUGCCUUUAAAAAUGACCAUUGUGCGACUAAAUGUUCCCGCUGCAUUGAACACUGCAAGAACUGUCGUGGUGUCGUGGUAUGAUGACACAAGGUAUAAUUAUAUAAAUAAUAGUAGGCUAAUGUCUUACUUAUAUUUAUAAAAUUACAAACAGUUUGCUUGAUCAAAAUGUAGACAGUGAGCCAAAUUUUAUCAUCCUUCGCCAGUAAUGAGUCAUAAAAUGAUGCUUUGUUAUUAGUGAUUUGUCGGGAUAUAGAGUCUUAAACAAUUUUCAAAAUACAACUAAUCCGUUGGUAAGAACUGGUGUAAAAAUUAUACUACAAAUUUCUCUAAGGAGAAGGAACAAUUUCCAGUGACUAUCACCUUAACUUAUAAGAUUUCCAAUCAGGGGAAAAAAAGAAAAGAAAAGAUGAGACCCACAUUUGACUGGCAUUUUGCUUCAUGGGGUUCUCAGAUGUUCUUAAAUUAUGAAUGGCACUAGAUUUGUUUUUCUCGUUUGCCACACCAUAGUCAAACUAAUCAUUCGGUCACUCAACUGAUCUAAGGUGAAAAGUUUUUCUUCAUAGAUGAAAUGGUGUAACAUUAGUUUUAUCUCGAGUGUCAAUUUUCGACUCUGAUCAUAUAUAUCACAAAAGUUGUUAUACAGACUAUUUAAUGGAUGUUAUUCCACAGUUCAGUACAAUAAGACUAUACACAGUUGUGCCCACAAAAAUAUUAUUAGUUAAAAAAAAAAUCAUGAACACUGUUUUAUUCAAACACAAUAAAACAAUGUGUGGUGUAAUAUGCUUAGUUUGUCUUGACAGAGAUUGAUGAGGCUCAUAAUACACAGAUCUUGAGAUCUCAUGAGCCAGGAAGUAAAACCUCUUAAAUUCAUAGGAAUGCUUUGCCAUCCUUGUAAUUUUGCUUUUGUUUGGCUUUAAAAUAAGAUAGUAAUCUGGUUACCAACUUAGUUAAUAAUAGUGAGUGAUGAAUCUAGCUAAAAGAGCUCAGCUUGUCAUGUCAUUGUGAAUAUCUGUUUGGAUUACAAUUCUUGUCUUAAAGGCAAAUGAUGAAAAGACAUUUUCGGAAUAGGCUGGGUUUUAAAAAAAGGGAUGUUGCAUUUUAUUGUCUCUUUUUUGGGGGGCUCAUUUUAAUGGUCAAAAGGGGAAGUGACUGCAGUUUUGGUUUUGUAUGUCUUGAAAGAAACAGAGAUAUAGCCUACAUACAGAGCAAUUUGAAACACAAGGAUGCCAAGACCUUCUCUUCUCGCUUUGAUACUGGCCAGUGCUCUGACUUCUGUAACUGGUGAAUAUAGUAUCAGGCUGGUGAAUGGAUAUAAUGACUGCUCUGGGAGAGCUGAGAUCCUUUAUAAUGGCACGUGGGGAACCGUGUGCGACAAUGACUGGGACAUAAAUGAUGCAGCUGUGGUGUGCAGACAGUUGGGAUGUGGAAGAGCUGUUAGUGCAAACUCCAGCGCCGGUUUGGACAGGGAAGUGGUCAGAUCUGGUUGGAUAAUGUGGGAUGUUCAGGAAGUGAAUUGUCCCUCACACAGUGCUCACGCAGUAUUAUUGGAGUACAUAACUGCGGUCACCAUGAAGAUGCAGGUGUCGUCUGCUCACAGGACUGGUUAAGAUUGGUCGGUGGAUCUGAUUCAUGCUGCAGUGGGAGAGUGGAGAUCCUUCAUAAUGGCCAGUGGGGAACGGUGUGUGAUGAUGACUGGGACAUGAAUGAUGCUGCUGUGGUGUGCAGACGGUUACAGUGUGGAUCAGCCGUCAGUGCACCUCACAGCGCUGCCUUUGGUCAAGGCAGUGGAUCGAUCUGGCUGGAUGAUGUUGGAUGCUCGGGAGGUGAAGAAAACCUCACACAAUGUUCACACGGAGGACUAGGAACUCACAACUGUAAUCAUGGUGAUUUGCUGGUGUUGUUUGUUCAGCUGACCUGCAGAAGCCAUCUCUUUCCCUGAUCUCCACACAUGCAGCUGUUUCUCCUGGAGAAAACAUUCAGUUCAGAUGCACAACACCUAAACCAAGAUGCAAUGCUGAUGCUGAAUUCCACCUCUUCAUAAACGGAUCAUCUGUAUUAUCCUCCCAGAAACAUGUAUCUGGUGUGACUUUCAACCUUGUUAAUGUAGGCGUCUCACAUCAGGGCAGCUACAGCUGUAAUUACUCCUACAAAAACAGUCACCUUGGAGUGACACUGUUAACAUCACUGUAGUGCACUUGCAGCAGCCCAGCAUUCCCCGCAUUGCUCCUGAUGGACAGUCUGAUGUGGGGCCUCAGGGGCCGAUGAUCCCGUGGGGCCACAGUUUCACUAUCAUCUGUUCCACUGUAUCUCAGUAUACUGGAGGAUUCUUCCACCUGUUUAGAGAAGCAAAUCUCACCAGGAGUCAGUCAGCUGUCGAUCUCUCUGCCUCCUUCUCCUUUCCUCAGGCAGAUUAUUCCCAUGAGGGAAACUACAGCUGUGUUUAUGAAGUCAUUUUGUCCUCACGCACCUUCCGUUCAUCUGCCUCUGAACUGCUGGUCAUCACUA